CCCAGAACGCCCAGUCUGGUGUGACCGCCAUGGAUUCGGCUGGGACAAAUACGAUCCACCUUAUCCUGCCUCCAAACCUGUCCACCUGCCAGCCUACCUGCCCUGCCCACGCUGCCUGUCUACCCUGCUGCCCUGUCUGCCUCGCCCUGUCUGCCUCGCUCUGCCUACCUACCAGUCCCGCCCUCACCCCUCUGGCCCUGUCUCAAUCCUUCCACCCCAACCUAUAUUAAAACACCCCUUGAGUUUCAUUGCUUGUGUCUGGAGAUGUGCACUUGGGUCCAUUAGCAGCUGCCCCCGUAACAAAUAUGAGUGGUAACAUGUUGUGAGAGAAUACCUUCUAGAGAACAAUGAUGACAUUACCCUCUCUGACUUGGAAGAUGAAUCGGAAAAAACUAUGAGGAAAUCCCAGACAUGGAAACUGUUCAAAAUGUUGUCAGAGAACCAGACAUUGCCGAUUCUUCUGAUGAAAGUGAUGGUGAAGGAACUGAGAUGUACAGUGUGGUUGUCGCAGAGGAAGUUGACCGUGUGAUGGAAUCGGUGGAAUGUCCUGUGCAAGCAGCGUACGAGAAGGAAAUUGACUAAAUAUGGAGAUGGCCAAAAAAGAAACGCUGGCUGUUCUUUCAUAAAACAACUGUCCACGGAUUACAUUUACUAACAAAGGGCAACCAUGGCAGAGAGGGAAACAUGCACAGAUUCUUCAGUAUUGAAAACCUUGAGUGUGAACUGUAACAAAAAGUCACAGCAUCAUCAAGGUCAACAGACUAAAUGCAAACAACAAAGGACUUUUUGUGUCAUCAGAGGAUAAUCAGUCAAAAUAUUCCUACAUGCAUUUGUGUAAACUGUACAACUGUAUACUCAAGGAAAACACAGGUCAAGGAAAACACAGGUCUGUCAAACAAAUGACAUCAAACAAAGUUUCACAAGUGCAAAGGUUUAUUUACAGUAAAAAAAACUAUACACACUUUAUUGAAAUAUUAAAACAUCCAUACAAAUAUAAAAACACACCUCUCAAUGCUAGCGAGCUUUGCACAUUCCCUGCUCCCACCAACGACCUGAACUU
ensembl:lncRNA